GCCUCCAGCAGGCUGAGUCACAGGAGUGUGGGGUCCCCUCAGACCCCAGAACCUUCCCUGACACCCAGGCCACAGCCUGGCACGGCACUCUGAACUGUCCUCGCUGGUGGGCGGAAUAUUUUUAUUCUCCAAACUCUCCAAGCACACAGCAAAAAGGCCUCAAGGAGCUUCUAAAAGAUUCUCAAUAGGAUAAGAAGCUGGUGCAGAGCUUCAGCCAUGGAAGCUUCCAGCCUGCCAAGCAUUGCCUCUCAGAGCAGGGCAGUAAGUUGGUGGAGGGCCGAGAGGGAGUUAUUCGGGCCGACAGAGCCUGGCCUGCAGCAGAUGCCCGACGAGAGUGUGUCAGACGAACAGAUGCGUGGAUGACGGGUGCCCGAGAAGCUGCUCCUUCCUGUACUCACACAUCAGAAAUCCUAGUGCACGCUCACUCCUUAGGCCCUGCCUGCCCGGCGCUGGCCCAGCCGUGAGCAAGGCGGGCAUGCCCUCUGGAAGCUCAUUUCUGCUGGGAGAGACCGGCCAGGAAUACGUCCACUCACACAAACGAAGUCCUGAGCAUGCUGCUGUCAAGUAGGGAAGAAAGGGGCGGUCUGCCUGUCGCCUCCUGGAAUACAGGACCCCUCCCCACGCCAGCAGUGACAUCAGACAUUGGCCACAGCAGGCUGGCCUGAGGCUCCAAUGACGUCACUGUUUCAAAGUGCACUGAUGAUGUCAUAAUGGGCUCUGGGGGCUGGGACAGAACCCUGCAAGCUGGGACAGAGGACACUUGUGUCCAUUCUGCCUGGAUGAAUCUCACUGGGGCCUCAGGAGGAGGUGGGCAGGUCUCCAUGGCACUCAGCCUCUUCCCCACCUCCCUCCCAAUUACUGGCUUACUGGCUCUAGUGAGGUAACCGGGCCUGUCUUUGUGUCUGAUGGGAUCGUCCCAGCCUGUGCAGAUGUGGCUACUUUUCCCUGUGACUGUACAGUCUUAGGUACUAUGGGGAAUAAGAAGGUGAACAGGGUGUGGUGGUGCAUUCCUGUAAUCUCAGUGCUCUGGGAGGCUGAGGCAGGAGGGUGGAAAAUUUUAGACCAGCCUGAUCAACUUAGGAACUCCUGUCUCAAAGUAAAAAUUUUAAAAUAAAGGACUGCAUAUAAUUA